AUAAAGCAUAAAUGGAAAAUGACUGGCUAGGAAAGUGAUGUAUGAUGCCUCAAAACAGAACCUGAAAAGAAGAAAAAGUACAAGAUUCAUACCUUAUGAAAACAGGCAGAAAGAUGGUCAAAAUAUUUAUAGGUCCAAACUUAAAUGACUCAACAAAGGGAGGGGGAAAAGUUUCAGCAUAAAUGCUUCUCCAAAAGAUGUUGGCACUUCAUUAGUUAUUUGCAGAGCAGCUCUUUUCUACAUCUGAAGACAGAACUCUGUGGUGAGACUGUUCUGAGCAGGCAGUGUCACUGAGCAGCACGUCUGCAG